rnacentral:rRNA from 1 species
AACGCGAAGAACCUUACCUGGGCUUGACACUUAGGGAAAAGCCGUAGAGAUACGGUGUCCUUCGGGGUCCUAAACAGGUAGUGCAUGGCUGUCGUCAGCUCGUGUCGUGAGAUGUUGGGUUAAGUCCCGCAACGAGCGCAACCCUUGUCCUAUGUUGCCAGCGGGUAAUGCCGGGGACUCGUAGGAGACUGCCGAGGUCAACUCGGAGGAAGGUGGGGACGACGUCAAGUCAUCAUGCCCCUUACGUCCAGGGCUGCACACAUGCUACAAUGGCUGGUACAACGGGCUGCUAAUCCGCGAGGAGGAGCCAAUCCCCAAAGCCAGUCUCAGUUCGGAUCGUAGUCUGCAACUCGACUGCGUGAAGUCGGAGUCGCUAGUAAUCCCCGGAUCAGCAACGCCGGGGUGAAUACGUUCCCGGGCCUUGUACACACCGAUAGC